CAGGACAGUAAUGUUUUGAACCAAGGAAAAUCCACAUGGAAGUCUUUAUGUCAGACAAGGUAAGUUUUGUAAGUAGGAGGAGCAGUGGCCAGGAAGAUGAGAUGCUAAGAUUUUCUGAUUUGUGAAAUGAAAUCAGAUGAUGUAUGGAAUCAAAAGGAAAAUUUGUACCAGUACUUGAAGAUGAAAAAUGGCUCACAGAUUUAGCAUUUUUGGAUAACUCUCUGAAGAACAACAACCUGAAGAGAUGAAACCAACUGUUGACUGCUGAAACAUUCCUUAGGACUAGCAGCCAAUGAACUUGAAAAAAUAGAGAAACAAAAUGGCUUAACACCUUAAUGUCAAGAGAGACUUCUAAUGAUGGAAAUGUUCUAGGCUGGAUCACUAAGAUAAGUAUUAAUAACAAUCUCCUGUUAUUUUUGUCUUCUAUACGUAGCGCAGAAGAAUAAGUGACUCCUUCCAGUCCUGUGGGUAUUGUUAAUGACAAGCUGCUUGGCUUUGUUUUUCUACCUUUCCUUAUUUAUUUCACUUACUAUCAUAUCUAGGCAGUUUCAGAGAGUUUUAUCAUUUCUUGUCAAAUCUAUCUUGAUCACUUAUCAUUCAAAUGGAUGUUUAAUAUCAAGCUUCAAUGCUCACAGACCUUUUCAGGACUCAGAAGCAGGUAUUUUACAUCCUGAAUAUAUAGUUAUAUGUAAAACGCUCUGAGUUAACUGUCUCGUGGCCUUUAUAUUCUCUUGAAUCAUCUUCUGAUUUCUAUUGACAAAAUGAAAAUACUUAGUUAAGGUUGUAGGCAAAAAAAUAAGUGCAGAAGGUAUAUAGUGUAUGCAAUACAUAGCCAUUACACUGAGUCCUAAAUAAGCCUAGAGGAAGACUGAACAGUAGUGCUGCAAGGAGUCAACAAUCUCAUUUAUCUUUGUGAGCUCCCAACUCCCACAUAGUCAGUACCAGGCACUUGAGUAAACAAUGCAAACAAACUCACUGAAUAAAGAUGGGAAAACUGAAAACCUGCACUAAUUCCUAAAAAGUAAAUACUUCAUACCCUGUCACAGAAGGGUUAUGAAAAAAUAGUAUGGAGAAGAAGAAAUGGUUUAAAAAGCCUAAAAAGCAGAAAUUGAGCCAUUCUUAUUAUAUGCACAGUCUAUUCUGAGCAAAACAUUUUUGUCAGAUCACAGUGCUGUAUCUUUUUUUUAUGUGCAGUUUGGAAAAACAGAGCAGUCUCUGCUUCACUAUGCUGAUUGUUUUGUCUCAUGCACGACCAUGUCUCUAAAUUUGCCACCCACAGCCCUGACAGCCUCUCUACCCUCCAUCACCCUCAUUUAAAAAAAUAAAAUCUCUGUUAGAUUACAUCUCUAGGGCAGGCACAAAAGCAACUGUGUAGAGAUCCCUGAUUUGAUCUAUAGAAGCUAUCUUGUACACUAGUGGGAUUCUAGUCUUGAGAGCAGAACACAAAUUCAUGUACCCUGCAGCUUGGCUUGGUUUUGCAGCCUAUGCAGCACUUUGUGCUGCCACAGCCAAAUUGGUACUGAUACUUUAAGUAAGUGUCGCAAUAUAUCUAAGUCAGUUUUAUGCUAACUGCAGUCACUGCUACAACCUCAGCAUUGGUGCUCCCUCCUUUACAGCCUGCGUAUUCAGCCACCACUCCAUAUAUUUGUUCUUCUGCUAGGCUAUUUGCUCUUCUUUCACAUACAAAAUAAAUUGUAUAUAUUCUUUUAUAUUCACAAGUAAUUUUUUACUUUCUGGCUUCCCUAUUUCUGUAUCAUCUCAUAUGUGUUACAGAACAUUGCUGGCUAGCCCCAUAUUGCUGUAAAGGCAUAGAGAGUCUCUAUUUCCAUUAUCACAUUUAAAUACUUCAGAAGAAACCAUGCAUUAUGUAUUCUGAAUACUUACUAAAACAUCUUGAUCCUUAAAAAGAGUUUGGUGUCUUUCACUAUCUUUUUCCCUACUUUACACUGGGGCCGAUAACUUUUGGAAUUACAUGAAACCUAGAGAACUGGGAAAAUGAGCCGGAGAGAAAAAUGUAUUUAAUUUUCAGAUAACAAAGCAGUCAGGAAAAGGACUGAAUAAGUCAAGAUAGUAGAAGCAUGGAAAGGUUGCCUUGCCCUCUCUAAACGCUUGGAGAAAUUGUUUCAUAAAGAAAUGGAAGAAAAAAUACAUUUUGUUAUGUUUAUUGUAUUUCUGUGCAGAGGAAGGGGUGAAACUGCAAAGAAAGGAGGCAGCAUCAUUCAUCGCAAGUAUUUAGUAACUGUUGUAGUAGGUGUCUUGCGGGGCUACGGGAUGUACGGGACAGGCCUCUCCCUAAGCAUAGAGAGACAGUGUUAUCGUGCUGACCUUGAUGCAGAGAAAACAGGAGAAGAAGAAGGAUGAGAAAAGAAUGUGGAAAC
rnacentral:lncRNA from 7 species